rnacentral:sRNA from 1 species
UCCAAGACAAAGGUUUAAUUUAUAAUGGUGUCACCAGCGACCAUGGCAAUGAACAACUUAAUUCUUAGCAUAUGUCUUUUUCUAUGUACAGGUCAACUCCUAAGUACAGCUGCACAAAACUGUCACCAGUCCACAGAGUGUGCCCGAGAUCACUGCUGCCUCCUGGACAAGUCCCUCAACGUGGGAGUGUGUAAGCCCAUGGGAGGGAUAGCCCAAAGAUGCUACGUUCACCAGCCUUAUGCCUACGAGCGUCCGAAGGAAAUGGUCACCGACUACGACCUCUGUCCUUGCAGCACGGGAAACAUCUGUGGCGGCAUUGACAGCUACGAUCCUGUGUAUGGUCAGAGAGGAAUCUGUACGUUUGGGAAGUGAGAAACACUAGCUCAAUGUCUGGCGAACUCGUGUAUACUGUAAAUAAGAUGUUGCCUUCAUAAUAAAGUUAUUGUUUUCUCACCAAACUCGUGUAUUUUGUACUGUAAAUAAGUUGUUGCCUUCAUAAUAAAGUUAUUGUUUUCCACCUC